rnacentral:tRNA from 3 species
GGGGCUGUGGCUCAGCAGGAUAGAGCAAGCGCCUCCUAAGCGCUAGGUCGCCGGUUCAAAUCCGGCCAGUCCCU